rnacentral:lncRNA from 1 species
UUUGGAUGUCUGCAUAAAAGCAGACUUGUUUUUUUUUCUCUCCACUUCUGGCUCCUGGAAAUAAUAUUCUCUUAACCUUUUGGAAUUAAACCAGCCAAAUAGAGUGUAACAUGUUUCUUAAUCAUUUGGGCCACCUUCUCCUUUCUGAAUGGAUGUUGGUUUCAGUGGGAAUGUUUUCUGUGGUUGUGGAUCAUUGAGAAGAUGGUGCUGAUUUGCUCUGGUAAGCUGAAGGAACAACCAGGCACGUGGCAUGAAGUGAAAUAAGGACAAAUGCAAGAGACAUCCUGGAGACAGGCAACUGAGGACAAAGAAAGUCUGUGGGGAAAGGGUGGUGAACCAGGUGCCCACCUGCCAGCAUUAUUGCUGAGGCACAUCUCAGCCAGGCCAUCAAGCUCCAGAUGAUCCUCAGUGAGGGAUACCGCUCUCUCAGUAUUCAAGAGUCACCCUUCCACAGAGAAGCCCUAGACUGCCCAUCAGUGGAAUAUGAGAGAGGUAAAAUCCUGCCCCUGUCUCCUUCUGACCUGGCUGGAUACCAUUUUCACCAACAGAUUCACCCACACAGUCACCCUGCCUUGACAGCUAGCAAGAGGCCAAGACACACAGAACAACGACUACCACCCCUCUGACAGCAGGAAGCAGUUACAGAAGACUGACCUUUGUCCAUUUUCCCAAAGAAUUGGGUCUUGGACUCUUGGGGGCAGGAAUGUUAGAGUAGGUAGUUAGGCAGAUGUGAGGAAGGCAGGGGAGGACCCCCCACCCCAGGAAUGUCAGGCGACCAUCACGUGAUGUCAGGUGGUUUUUAAACUGUCUCUCUGAAAUGAUAAUUGGUUGCAGCUGGCUCCAGGGUAAGACAGUCUCCCAGUAGACAGAAAACACCUAGAGCUGGUGAUCAGCAACUUCCCAAUAAGAUCUCAGAAGCUGGGCAAGUGGGCUGAAGCAUGUGAACUAAGAAGCAAAAUGACUGAUGUAUGAUGUUCCCCUGGGGGUGUUUGCCCCCAGAGAGUAUGUGCCCAAUCUUAGUAAAUGCACUGUACAUGUGGUCACCCUCCCAAAUGCUGACCGACAUUGCACAUGCAGUAGUUGAGCAACAGACUGCCCCAAGGGAAGAUUCAAUGGAGGAGAAAAGAAAACCCCAGAGCCAUGUCAAUGUAUAAAACCCCAAGUCAAAGGCUGAACUAGACACUUGGACCUCUUAAGUUGCCUGCUUGGCCCUCUUCCAA